rnacentral:rRNA from 1 species
UACGUAGGGUGCAAGCGUUAAUCGGAAUUACUGGGCGUAAAGCGUGCGUAGGCGGCUAUGUAAGACAGAUGUGAAAUCCCUGGGCUCAACCUAGGAACUGCAUUUGUGACUGCAUGGCUAGAGUCUGGUAGGGGGAUCUGGAAUUCCUGGUGUAGCGGUGGAAUGCGCAGAUAUCAGGAGGAACACCGGUGGCGAAGGCGGGAUCCUGGGCCAGUACUGACGCUGAGGAGCGAAAGCGUGGGGAGCAAACAGG